AGUGAACGCUGGCGGUAGGCCUAACACAUGCAAGUCGAACGGCAGCACAGUAAGAGCUUGCUCUUACGGGUGGCGAGUGGCGGACGGGUGAGGAAUACAUCGGAAUCUACUUUUUCGUGGGGGAUAACGUAGGGAAACUUACGCUAAUACCGCAUACGACCUACGGGUGAAAGCAGGGGAUCUUCGGACCUUGCGCGAUUGAAUGAGCCGAUGUCGGAUUAGCUAGUUGGCGGGGUAAAGGCCCACCAAGGCGACGAUCCGUAGCUGGUCUGAGAGGAUGAUCAGCCAAACUGGAACUGAGACACGGUCCAGACUCCUACGGGAGGAAGCAGUGGGGAAUAUUGGACAAUGGGCGCAAGCCUGAUCCAGCCAUACCGCGUGGGUGAAGAAGGCCUUCGGGUUGUAAAGCCCUUUUGUUGGGAAAGAAAAGCAGCAGGUUAAUACCCCGCUGUUCUGACGGUACCCAAAGAAUAAGCACCGGCUAACUUCGUG
rnacentral:rRNA from 1 species